AUACGGAGGGUGCAAGCGUUAAUCGGAAUUACUGGGCGUAAAGCGCUCGUAGGCGGCCUGUUAAGUCGGAUGUGAAAGCCCCGGGCUCAACCUGGGAACUGCAUUCGAAACUGGCAGGCUAGAGUAUAGUAGAGGCAAGUGGAAUUCCGGGUGUAGCGGUGAAAUGCGUAGAUAUCCGGAGGAACAUCAGUGGCGAAGGCGACUUGCUGGACUAAUACUGACGCUGAGGAGCGAAAGCGUGGGGAGCAAACGGGAUUAGAUACCCCGGUAGUCC
rnacentral:rRNA from 1 species